UACGUAGGUGACAAGCGUUGUCCGGAUUUACUGGGCGUAAAGGGCGCGUAGGCGGCGUAACAAGUCACUUGUGAAAUCUCCGGGCUUAACCCGGAGCGGCCAAGUGAUACUGUUGUGCUAGAGUGCGGAAGGGGCUACUGGAAUUCUCGGUGUAGCGGUGAAAUGCGUAGAUAUCAAGUGGAACACCAGUGGCGAAGGCGAGUUCCUGGACACUUCCUGACACUGAGGCACGAAAGCUAGGGGAGCAAACAGG
rnacentral:rRNA from 1 species